CCUACGGGAGGCAGCAGUCGAGAAUCUUCCGCAAUGGGCGAAAGCCUGACGGAGCGACGCCGCGUGGAGAACGAAGCCCUUCGGGUUGUAAACUCCUGUCACGAGUUAGAAGGACGGCUGACGAACAGUGAGACGUCUUGGACGUAAGCUCGAGAGGAAGCACUGGCUAACUCUGUGCCAGCAGCCGCGGUAAUACAGAGAGUGCGAACGUUGUUCGGAAUUACUGGGCUUAAAGCGCACGUAGGCGGCGUCGUAAGUGUCAGGUGAAAUCCCACGGGCUCACCCGUGGAACUGCCUGGCAGACUGCGACGCUCGAGUGUGGUAGGGGAGAGCGGAACUCCUGGUGGAGCGGUGAAAUGCGUAGAUAUCAGGAGGAACACCGGUGGCGAAGGCGGCUCUCUGGUCCACAACUGACGCUGAGGUGCGAAAGCUAGGGGAGCAAACGGGAUUAGAUACCCCGGUAGUCCUAGCUGUAAACGAUGGGCACUAGCUUGGGGUCUCCCUGUGUGAUCCCAGGUGAAGUAAAAAUGAUAAGUGCCCCGCCUGGGGAGUAUGGUCCCCAAGGCUGAAACUCAAAGGAAUUGACGG
rnacentral:rRNA from 1 species